GGCAAAGGAGAGGAGGAAACCUGAGUAAGUUUGAAUUUUAGAGAUUUACCUGCUGCUAGUCAGUCAAAUUUAACUUUUAAUCCCUGAGAUUUAGUGAAGAAUCAAAAAUAUCUUCAUACAUUCAUAUGUAAAAGCAUAUGUUAAGAACAAUAAAGAAUAAAGCCAUUAUAAUUAAUCUCCCCCCAUAUGGCAAUAUGAGAAGUCUCUCUUUCUUAAAUUAACUAAAGGGUGCGCUGACAGUGCAUUUAGCUAUUAGAUAUACCAAGAGACUAAGCUACCCUAGGCCUCAGUUUCAUUUUGCUUUGUCUUUGUAGUUUCUCCCCUUUUAAAAAAUAUUCUUGGAAACUGAUAUACAAUUUAUUCAAAUAAUAGAAAUGCCCACUGCUAGCUCAAAAUUUCUCCCCUUUCUAAAUUUUUGGUUGUGAUGUACAAUUAGGGAUUUUCCUUUAUUGUCCAAGAGCAAAGUUCUUUAUCUGAUUGCAACCUGAGGCCGUUUUUUUGCAGUCACUUUGGAGCAAGUCACUUCUAUCAAAUUAGGGUAAUUACAGUUCAGAGGGAUGAACAAGGCUGAAGUGAUGUUCACACACCACCAUGAGAUCUGGGAGGCUUUCUUCAUAAAGAGCAUACAAGAAGCUCUGGAACACAUGGGAGUUGUUAUAUGUCUUGUUGCUCCCUUCUAUAGACGGCUAGUUAAUACUCCUAAAAUGUCAGCUUUCCUCAGAGGAAUGAAUAUUAAUUUAGUUUGCUCAUUAAAUGUCCUUGAGAUGCAAAGGAAUGGCAAUUAUGUUUCUUCUUCCCAUAUAUACGAUAUGUAGCAGAUAUUAAGGAUGUGACCACAGCAAAACACUAAGUCAAAGACAAACCAAAGAAACCAAAUCCUUUGCAGUAAGAUGCAAUUUUCUUAUGUAUGUGUAAUGCGCUGGCAAGUCAUUUUUCAUUUUGGAAGGUGUUAAGCAUCACUCAUGACAAGUGUUUAUUUGCCUAAUUGCCCAAAAGAAAUGCAGUGUAAUUCAAACUUUUUUAAAACAGCAAUGAAACAAAGUCACAAAUACCCUUUUUUCAAAUCUCUCUCAACAGUUCUUUUUCCAAAACAGAAAAUAAACUAAUUUCUCUUGCUCUAAAACAUCAAUACCAAUGCCAGCUAGGAACACCCUCCAGUGCUAGUUUGAAGACAACUUUGAGAAGAUCUGAUGAUAGAGAAUGAACAAGAGCUAUCAUCUGCUCUGUCAAAUCUGGACAGUAUUUUAAACUGUAGCUUUAGCAUCAACUUUCAUUUUCAUACAUAAUGCACAUCUCUUAAAAAUUCAUAUCAAAUAUACUGGGUUUCUUGGUUGGUUGGUAUUUUGUCACUGGGUAAGAACUCUGAGAAACAAGAGAAGCAAUUCCGGAAGUCCACGACCUAGGCUGUGAUAAGACCAAGCCUGGGGCUGGGAGCUCCUAGCAUGCCCUCGUUUUCGGCGUAGCCCCCUUCUGCUGCAGGAAGCCGCACUAAGUAGUUCCUCUGCUGUUGCUGGCAGGACGGGUGUAAAUAAAAAUGUGAGGUAGUUCUUUCCACAAGAGGGAAAUAUUUGUCUACAUAAUAACCCUGCAAUGUCUGACAAAUUACCACAGCAUCUGCUCACUGUCAUCUGUGAGUAAACUCUCCGCUUGGUAUUAACUGAACUUGACAAAUCACGAGCUA
ensembl:lncRNA